rnacentral:rRNA from 1 species
UACGGAGGGAGCUAGCGUUAUUCGGAAUUACUGGGCGUAAAGCGCACGUAGGCGGCUUUGUAAGUAAGAGGUGAAAGCCCGGAGCUCAACUCCGGAACUGCCUUUUAGACUGCAUCGCUUGAAUCCAGGAGAGGUGAGUGGAAUUCCGAGUGUAGAGGUGAAAUUCGUAGAUAUUCGGAAGAACACCAGUGGCGAAGGCGGCUCACUGGACUGGUAUUGACGCUGAGGUGGCGAAAGCGUGGGGAGCAAACAGG